AUACGUAGGGGGCGAGCGUUGUCCGGAAUGAUUGGGCGUAAAGGGCGCGUAGGCGGCCCGGUAAGUCUGGAGUGAAAGUCCUGUUUUUAAGAUGGGAAUUGCUUUGGAUACUGUCGGGCUUGAGUGCAGGAGAGGUAAGUGGAAUUCCCAGUGUAGCGGUGAAAUGCGUAGAGAUUGGGAGGAACACCAGUGGCGAAGGCGACUUACUGGACUGUAACUGACGCUGAGGCGCGAAAGUGUGGGGAGCAAACAGGAUUAGAUUCCCUGGUAGUCCACGCCGUAAACGAUGAAUACUAGGUGUAGGGGGUAUCGACUCCCUCUGUGCCGCAGUUAACACAAUAAGUAUUACGCCUGGGGAGUACGGCCGCAAGGUUGAAACUCAAAUGAAUUGACGGGG
rnacentral:rRNA from 1 species